CUUUGGGUUUCCGUGGCCUUUGUGCAUCUUUCUAUAAUGUGACCCUUAUUGUAUAUUAUAUGUCAGUGUUGUGAUUCUGUACUGCCUGUUGGACAUUGAGCUACUCGAAGGUAAUGUCCAUGUCUCAGUGAUGGAAGAAUGAAUAACAGAAUAAAAAUGGGGUAAAUGGGAAGGAGGGAGUGAUGACCUCACAUGGCUGGUUGUCAGUCAGGAGUCACUUCUGAUGGCAAGAAGAGAGAUCUGAAUAAAGUGGCUUAAAGACACUAGGGGUUCAUGACUCUUGGAAAGAUGUUUGGAGGUGGAUGGGUAGGUGCUGGCGUGGAGAUGCCACAGUGUUGGGAAAGGCUUUCCUCCGCUUGGCCACCAUUAAUGCCUGGCUUCCCUUUUCAAUGUGACCUCAUGGCUCAAAGUGGCUGCCGGAGCUGCAGCCAUCUCAUCCACCCCAGGCAAGAAGGACAGGAAGGUCAGUGGGUGAAGAAAAGUGUUCUUCCCAUGAAGGCAGCCUCCUUUAUAGAGAUUCCUCAGGCUCCUCUAUCUGACAGUUUCCAUCUUCUAGCUGAGUUUUGAAGAGGUAUAAAUAUGUGGCAGUAAACAGGUUGUCUGUGCACUUAGUUAAAAAUAGUUUCUUUUAAGAAACAGCUUUUAGAUUUGAAUAGAUAUUCCUCCAAAGAAGAUGUAAGAUGGCAAUAAGCACAAGAAAAGAUGCUCACCAUCAUCAUUGUGGAAAUGCAAAUCAAAACCGCAGUGAGAUGCCGCUUCACACCUGCUAGCAUGGCCCUAGAAUCAAAAAGACAUAACAAGUGUUGACAAGGACAUGGAGAAAGUAGAACUUUCAUGACAUUACUGAUGGGACUAUAAAAUGAUGCAGCCACUUUCGAAAGCAGUCUGGCAGUUCCUUGAAAAAGUUGAAAACAGUUACCAUAUGAUCCAGCAAUUCCACUUCUAGAUAUACAUAAGUGAGAGAAUGAAAAUGUGUGUCUACACAAAGGCUUGCGUGUAAGUGUCUGUAGUAGCACUAUUCAUAAUAGCUAAAAAGUGGAGACAACUGAAAUGUGCCUCAGUUAAUGAAUGGAUCAACAAGCUGUGGCAUAUCCAUAUUAUGGGAUAUUAUUCUUCCAUAAAAGGAAAUGAAGUACUGAGACAUGCUAUAGCAUGAAUGAAUCUCGAAAAUGUACGCCAAGUGAAAAAAGCCUUUCACAAAAGGCCACAUAUUGUAUGAGUUCAUUUACAUGAAAUGUCCAGGAUAGGCAAAUCUAUAUAGACACAGAAACUAGAUUAAUGGUUGCCUUGGGGUGAGGGAAGAUGGGGAGUGACUGCUAAUGAGUUUCUUUUUGGGGUGAUUAAAUGUUCUAAAAUUAGAGAGUGACAUUGGCUGCAUAGCUCUGUGAAUAUACUAAAAACCAUUGUACAUGUUAAAAAGGAUGAAUUGUCUGGUAUGUGAAUUAUAUCUCAAUAAAGCAGUUUUUAAAAUCA